CACCCCUCCUUGCCGCAAAACCGAAUCCCUUUCCCGGUUUCGUAGCCCACCUGGAGAGAGCCCCGCGCGCCCCUCACUUAUCCAUUUCACCCCCGACGGUGCCCAACACAUGCGGUUGUGUCCCAGGAGCCUUCUCCUUCAAAUUCCCUUCCUCCCGAGUUACCAGCACUCUUUGCUUUCUCCUCAAGGCUUUUUGGGGACGCAUCCCGCCCACCCUACCCUUUCCUGCCUGUUCUUUUUGUGAUUUGCACGGGGGGGGGGGUGUUCCCUAGCAAACUUGGGCUAACGCAGCAACGUGUCUCCAUGACCAGUUCCUGUUCUCGUUCUUUCUUCUCCACCUAGACCUGCUUUCAACUCUUCCAAACUAGCCUGAUUAGAGGUGCUGCCUCCGUUGGAAUGCUGGUCUGAGAGACUUUCUCCCGAGCCUGGUGCUUCCCCUCCAGUGGCGAUGUGCUCUUGCAACUAGGGGGCCCCUUCGCCGUGGAAUACUCGGUGCUGCCGGAAAGGCAAGAGUCCGUCCCUUGCUGAAAACAAAGGCCCCUUCCGAGAAAGAAUUGUUUGUUGAAUGAAUGAAUAAACAAACGA